ACGGGUGAGUAACGCGUGGGAACGUGCCUUUCGGUUCGGAAUAACUCAGGGAAACUUGAGCUAAUACCGGAUACGCCCUUAGGGGGAAAGAUUUAUUGCCGAAAGAUCGGCCCGCGUCCGAUUAGCUAGUUGGUGAGGUAAAGGCUCACCAAGGCGACGAUCGGUAGCUGGUCUGAGAGGAUGAUCAGCCACACUGGGACUGAGACACGGCCCAGACUCCUACGGGAGGCAGCAGUGGGGAAUAUUGGACAAUGGGCGCAAGCCUGAUCCAGCCAUGCCGCGUGAGUGAUGAAGGCCUUAGGGUUGUAAAGCUCUUUCGCCAGGGACGAUAAUGACGGUACCUGGAUAAGAAGCCCCGGCUAACUUCGUGCCAGCAGCCGCGGUAAUACGAAGGGGGCUAGCGUUGUUCGGAAUCACUGGGCGUAAAGCGCACGUAGGCGGAUUGUUAAGUCAGGGGUGAAAUCCCGAGGCUCAACCUCGGAACUGCCUUUGAUACUGGCGAUCUAGAGUCCGGGAGAGGUGAGUGGAACUGCGAGU
rnacentral:rRNA from 1 species